AUUGUGACUGCACACAUUAUUUGAAGCGUGAAGGAAAUAUUAUCUUGAGCGUGGAGAAAUAUUAUUUGAAGCGUGGAGAAAUAUUAUUUGAAGCGUGACGGAAAACAAGCGUCGAUGCGAGGGAGAUCGUCACGUGAAAAGGCCAUGUGCGCUGUUCGAUCAUGUAAACAAAGUGGAAGACAGAAAGUCCAACGUUAGCUAGGCUAUAAGAGAUUCAAAGAGAAUUCAGAUAGAAAAUGGAACUAUUGAACAAUAAAUUCUGCCUGGAAGCAAGAACUGGGGAAUACAGUGCAAGGGAUACCCGCUGCUCUAUUUCAAAAGUUAUUGGGAAUUUGUGAUAGAAGAUUGUGCAGAUCUGGACAAAAAUUCAAUGUGAAUAACUUUGAAGAAAGAAGUCUUGGCAAAUUUCAGAGAAUUUUUGAUGGAAGAAUAUGUGUUGUUCCUGAACAUUUUGCACAUGAAAUUUGUCCUUUUGACAUCA